rnacentral:rRNA from 1 species
UAGGGAAUAUUGGACAAUGGGUGCAAGCCUGAUCCAGCCAUGCCGCGUGCAGGAAGAAGGCCUUCUGGGUUGUAAACUGCUUUUGCCGGGGGAUAAAAUAGCUAUGCGUAGCGAAUUGAAGGUACCCGGUGAAUAAGCCACGGCUAACUACGUGCCAGCAGCCGCGGUAAUACGUAGGUGGCAAGCGUUGUCCGGAUUUAUUGGGUUUAAAGGGUGCGUAGGCGGUCUUAUAAGUCAGUUGUGAAAUAUGGCAGCUUAACUGUCAAGGUGCAAUUGAUACUGUAAGACUUGAGUACUGUUGAGGUA